AACUUUGAAGUCGAUAUCCUUUAUUGCUAAAUAGAAAGUCAAUCGAUUAACUUUUUCCAUUAUUCGUACAACGACUAAAAUACAAGGAAACAUUGAAAGAAACACUAAAAUCAAAUGAAAAUACAGAUUCAUAGUGGGGACUUGUACUAGAGUUUGUUGCAUUUGCACAAUUAUGUGCAAUUUGCACGUAUUCUACGGAAUAACUAUGUCACAAAAACCAAACAGACAAGAACAACAAACCCAACAAUCGUCGCACUGUUUUCCGGUUUCACAAGUUCUCCCACAAGUUAAAAAGUCAUUAAGACGAGGGAGUAGGCUUCUUUCGAGUCUAAGUCUUGAGAGAUCAUGCUCAACAUUCUGAAUCGCCUCCACUUUAGUACUUGAGAACCAUGGCAAGCUGACUGAAAUAUUUCACAAUCAAAAUUAUCAAAAUCAAAUUAUGAAUAAUAUAACAUGAAUUAAACUCACAUUUUUAAAAAACAUGGAUAGGAACAUAUGUGUAUUUGUGUAUAGACGAAACAUGUACAUCGUCACGUAUGUUCCAUCAUGCAUUUGUAAGCAUAAUAAUAUCAAUUUGAAUGUAGAGUUAAAAAGAGACAGAUACUAACUAGUAGUUGUCAUGAGAAGAACAGUGAGCACAAAACCAAACUUAAGCAACCUCAUGUUAUAUGGAAAUAGUACUUUACACUUCAUGAAAGUUUGCACAUGAGC
rnacentral:lncRNA from 1 species